rnacentral:lncRNA from 1 species
CUCUGAUGUAGAUAUUGAAGGGUAUGAUGAUGAGGAGGAGGAUGGGAAACCUAAGACUCCAGCCCCAGUGAGUAUGCUUAUAGAAAGCUUAUGGUUACGUUAUGCCCUUAUAUGAUAGGAGCCCCAUCAGUACAGGCCAGGCCAAAUCCUAAGAUGAUAUCAGGGGGUCUCCUUAGUGAGCCCCAAUCUGACUUUAAUCCUUGGGACCAACUAAACAGUCUAUCCACCAAAAAUAAUUACUUAACUUCUUGUGAGGCAGCAAGUGGAGGGAUGGGCGGGGCGGGGAGGGGGGGUGUGCCUGGUGGUG